rnacentral:rRNA from 1 species
ACCAGAAAGUCACGGCUAACUACGUGCCAGCAGCCGCGGUAAUACGUAGGUGGCAAGCGUUAUCCGGAUUUAUUGGGCGUAAAGAGAGUGCAGGCGGUUUUCUAAGUCUGAUGUGAAAGCCUUCGGCUUAACCGGAGAAGUGCAUCGGAAACUGGAUAACUUGAGUGCAGAAGAGGGUAGUGGAACUCCAUGUGUAGCGGUGGAAUGCGUAGAUAUAUGGAAGAACACCAGUGGCGAAGGCGGCUACCUGGUCUGCAACUGACGCUGAGACUCGAAAGCAUGGGUAGCGAACAGGAUUAGAUACCCUGGUAGUCCAUGCCGUAAACGAUGAGUGCUAGGUGUUGGAGGGUUUCCGCCCUUCAGUGCCGGAGCUAACGCAUUAAGCACUCCGCCUGGGGAGUACGACCGCAAGGUUGAAACUCAAAGGAAUUGACGGGGGCCCGCACAAGCGGUGGAGCAUGUGGUUUAAUUCGAAGCUACGCGAAGAACCUUACCAGGUCUUGACAUCUUGCGCCAACCCUAGAGAUAGGGCGUUUCCUUCGGGAACGCAAUGACAGGUGGUGCAUGGUCGUCGUCAGCUCGUGUCGUGAGAUGUUGGGUUAAGUCCCGCAACGAGCGCAACCCUUGUUACUAGUUGCCAGCAUUAAGUUGGGCACUCUAGUGAGACUGCCGGUGACAAACCGGAGGAAGGUGGGGACGACGUCAGAUCAUCAUGCCCCUUAUGACCUGGGCUACACACGUGCUACAAUGGACGGUACAACGAGUCGCGAACUCGCGAGGGCAAGCAAAUCUCUUAAAACCGUUCUCAGUUCGGACUGCAGGCUGCAACUCGCCUGCACGAAGUCGGAAUCGCUAGUAAUCGCGGAUCAGCAUGCCGCGGUGAAUACGUUCCCGGGCCUUGUACACACCGCCCGUCACACCAUGAGAGUUUGUAACACCCAAAGUCGGUGGGGUAUACCUUUUAGGAGCCAGCCGCCUAAGUGACAGAU